GCCGGCUUGCGGCCGGUGUGUCGGCGGUGUUGGCUCUGGAAGCCGGAGCGGGCACAUUCCCUGGACAGGCGGCAGGCUAUGGUCGCCGGCUCCCAAAGGCCCGCUCCGCAUCGCAGCCCGAUCGUGAGCGCAAGCC
rnacentral:miRNA from 1 species